AAAAAGUGGAGGUGUGGUGUUUCAUUCUGUCACUGCUAAGCUUCUCAAAACGUUUCCUUCACACUGCCUCCUCUAAGGUUGAAACUGGAGCUAAAGAAGCUGUACUUCAUAGUUCACGUACAUAACUAACAGUAAGAGGAAGUCUGGAUGGGAAGUCAUCUCGAAUAAAGUUGUGACAAUGACAUGUGACAUCUAUGUGAAAGGACACUAGAACUUCUGUCACUACAUCAACUGAAAGAGUAAUUAUCAGAGUGUUGAUCACCAGCCACUUUCUACUCGAGCAAACGCACCAAACUUAUUUGGUUAUUAAAUAGCUUUGGAUCUCUGGUCACCCUGUGGAGUUUUGGACCCUUCUUCCCUCAAGAUCAAGUCUGGGUGAGUCUAGAUGUGUGCAAACGAGCUAAAAGAAGUUAAAGUUGAGGAUGCUUUACUUGAACAGCCUGAGCCGAGGGCUGACUCGCACCGCAUCACCUGUCAUGACAUCUGUAAGGACGCAGACCAUCGUAAACUUGCCAUUUGCAGCAUCAUAUGUGGCCUCUCCUGCUUUGGAAUAAUGUCCCUCAAGUACUCUGUCAAGCUAUUCAAAUACACUCAGCUGAGAUCUGUUGCCAGUAACAGAUACUGCUGGCAAACAUGAGACACAAUGAAACCUAAAGGCAGUCAGUGAUGAAAGAAACGUAUGCAUGCACUAACAUAAUCUAAGAAUCUAAUAAAAAAAAAUAAAAAAGGAAAUCGA